rnacentral:tRNA from 1 species
GGGGAAUUAGUUUAAUUUUGGUAGAACACCAGAUUUGCAUUCUGGAAGUGUUGGUUCAAGUCCAACCUCUCUG